CUGGGGGGAUGACUCUCUUAGGACACCUUUGGUUUAAUUGUGAAAAAGAAGUGUAAUUUCUGAGCAGC
rnacentral:snoRNA from 1 species